rnacentral:sRNA from 1 species
GAUAAAGCGAAGCCUGGUGACCGGGUUCAGGUGGUGGGAACCUACCGUUGCCUUCCUGGAAAGAAGGGAGGCUACACCUCUGGGACCUUCAGGACUGUCCUGAUUGCCUGUAAUGUUAAGCAGAUGAGCAAGGAUGCUCAGCCCUCUUUCUCUGCUGAGGAUAUAGCCAAGAUCAAGAAGUUCAGUAAAACCCGAUCCAAGGAUAUCUUUGACCAGCUGGCCAAGUCAUUGGCCCCAAGCAUCCAUGGGCAUGACUAUGUCAAGAAAGCAAUCCUCUGCUUGCUCUUGGGAGGGGUGGAACGAGACCUAGAAAAUGGCAGCCACAUCCGUGGGGACAUCAAUAUUCUUCUAAUAGGAGACCCAUCCGUUGCCAAGUCUCAGCUUCUGCGGUAUGUGCUUUGCACUGCACCCCGAGCUAUCCCCACCACUGGCCGGGGCUCCUCUGGAGUGGGUCUGACGGCUGCUGUCACCACAGACCAGGAAACAGGAGAGCGCCGUCUGGAAGCAGGGGCCAUGGUCCUGGCCGACCGAGGCGUGGUUUGCAUUGAUGAAUUUGACAAAAUGUCUGACAUGGAUCGCACAGCCAUCCAUGAAGUGAUGGAGCAGGGUCGAGUGACCAUUGCCAAGGCUGGCAUCCAUGCUCGGCUGAAUGCCCGCUGCAGUGUUUUGGCAGCUGCCAACCCUGUCUACGGCAGGGUAAGUGGAAUCAGGCCCCAACCAUUGUCCUCACCUUCAUUUGGUUUUGCUGACUAACUGGGCUGAGAAGUGUAUUCUAGGUGACCCAGGGGAAUAGUAGGCCAAAGACUAAAAGUAAGGCCAUUUUCUUGUUAUUGUCCUUUGUUUAGAGCAGUGUUCCUCACCCAUUCCUGCACAGCAGAAUCCCCUGGAAAGUUCCUUAUUUAAAAGUAACUUUUUAACAGUACAGUUAAACAGUCCAUUUAACAUAUUUAACCGUCCAUUAAAUAAAAGGACUACAUGCAUG